UUUUAAAACAACACUAAAGAUCAUAGGCUUCAGUAUAUAGAGCAUUUACCGAAAAACUCAAUAUUUUCAUAGGGGUUAACCCAUAGAUUUUGAGAAAAAUUCAAAAAAAUGAAAAUACUGUUUUAAUACAUAGCUGCAUCCUUCACUAACAUAUGAUGAAGGCCAAAGAGGUUUGGAACCUUUGUUGUCUCUGUUUUUCUAGAGAAUGACAAUUUUCUAGUGGUUAGUUCACCAAUUUAGAAAGUAUUAUGAAGUUUUACUAAAUUAAUUGAAAAACAAAUUAAGAAAAUGCUCAUGUACCAUGAAAGACAGUUUAAUAUAGAUUAAUACAAAUGUAGAAUGUAUUUAGAAAUUUUAAAACAACACUAAAGAUCAUAGUUUUCAGUAUAUAUGACAUUUACCGAAAAAU